UUCAAAAGAACCGAUAUCGUCUUCUUCUCCAACCCUAAUGGACUGAUCCAUUUUUCUCGUCCAACGAGUAAAUUCAAUUGUUGAAUCGACACGAGGAAUUCAAAUUUCCACCCGUUAUAUAUAUACCCAAUUCACUCAAUUUCUUUACUCAUUUUUUAGUUUCUUUGUUAAUUUCCUCUUUUUAUUCGUCCUUUAAACCCUGCAACUUUGAAAACUUGAAUUUCUCAAACCCCAUUUGGUGAUAACUGUGGCAGCAUCUUCCUCUUUCACAAGGAAACAGUGAUAUUGAUCAGCUAGGGAAGAUUUUUGCGACCUUUGGGACCCCAAAGCCUUCACAGCGGCAUGAUAUGAUGGUCUACUUGCCGGAUUAUGUUGAUUACCAAUAUGUCCCUGGCCAGCUAUUCAAAACACUUUUUCCAACUGCUACUGAUGAUUGCCUGGAUCUUCUGUUCGUAAUUGACGGUGCUUUUAUCAUCCUCCGAAAUUUGACGUCCUCCCCUAUAUGCAUUUGUUUGUCUUGGUUUGGUGGAUAUUUGAUCAGCUCAAAUUUUAGCUUAACUACUUGUGAUUGAUUUUCUCCUUUGCUUCUGUAAGUUUAAUUUUAAUUGUUGUUAUGCCUCUUAUGUUUGCAUUGUUAAGAAAAUUUAGGUAGUAAACUUGUCACUUCAAAAUGAAUUUGAUUGCUACUUUCUUUACUCAUCAUGUGGGAUGCAUCUUUUGACAUUAAUUGCUCUAAUGGCUAUGCAACAUCUUAAUUUCUCAUCUUGAUUAAGAGUAAUUUGCUUAAGACUAGAUAGUGACUAUUUAGUAGGUUAAAGAAUUAUUAUUUGAGUCUUAAGUUUGGUUGGUAAUAAUUUUAGUUGUUUUGUUUGCCUACUGAUAGCCUAAAUAUACAACCUUGUGAGUAGUCUUUUUUUUAAGCUUAGGUUGACUUGCUCCCUGCCAUGAUCAUCAUGUAUGAGCUAUUUUGUUCUCUUUUUUAAUGUUCAAGAUUUGAAACAGUAUCAUAUGCGUUUAUCUCUUUUGAUUGUUACACAUGAAAAACUCUUCUCUUAAAUGAUAUGUUGGAUGAACUCAAGAAUGUACACAAAUGCAAACCAUUCCUGUUACAAGUACAAAUUCUUCUAAGAUAUGUGUAGACACCAACCUCCUCAUACUCUACUUGUAGAAGUAUACUCAACAUAUUUGUGUUGUUCUCCACAUCUCCUCUCUCAUAUCAAUUUAUUUUUCAAGAUGUAAGUCAGAAUUCUUCUUAAAUUUAUGUGAAUAUUUCAAUUCAAGGCUAGCAUCCCUUCAUUUCAUCCCUUUUCGGUUAGAAACCCCUUGGUUAAAUCUUCCCUGUUUGAUUGUUUUCCUUUUUUACUUGAGGUAAGUUUAGUUAGCUCGUUUUGUCGAUACAUUUUAUAAGGGUUACUAUUUGUCUGGUUUGGGUACUUGAAUCUGAGGCUACGUCAAUGACCAAGUUUUUAUGGACUAUCGUAUGAUAUUGAAUUAGACAUUAUCUCCUGAACUGUAGCCAGUGGCUAUGUCUUAUGAUUUGUUGAAUAUUAAAGUCAGCCUAUUUUUCUUUUUUAAUCUCAAUCUAAUUUGUAUUAGCCUAAGUUAUAGUUUAUAUUGCGUUUCUUGUGAUUCAUUAUAGUGUAUCUCACUGUAAUUAAUAUGUGAGCAACAAAUACUUAGUUUUAAAAAUCCUUUCAAUCAUUCUAAUCUAAUAUCGUUUUAUUUUCCUUGCAUGUGAUACCAAUUCGAGUCCACUUUUGGACUAAUUCCUUGCAUUUCAUCGAGUUGAAUUCCUUUGAGUCAGCCCCAUCGGUGUUCAAGUGAAAGGAAAGCUGAAAUACAAGGCAAACGAAAGCAAAAAAUGCAGGGAAAGGGGCUGCUAAACAAUCAUGUAUACACUGAUAUACAGUUUUGUAUACGCUGAAAAGAGGCCCAAAUCAGCAGCAAUUUAGGCCCAAAGAGGCUGCUUUUAGGUCCAAAAGGCCCAAACUCAUUCUCUCUCUCCCAUAUGUAGUAAUUCAAAAAAAAAUUGAAAAAUUUUCAUCAAAUUAUUUUACAAAAACUUUUUUAUAA